rnacentral:lncRNA from 1 species
UGAUGGAGCCUUGCCCUGUCGCCCUCGACAGACUCCAUCAACAGUAGCUUGAUGCCUUGAUCCACUUUGUAGCCUACUGGUUGGCCAAACAAACAUUUAGAAAAAGGAACAACAAGAUCGAACCGAGACAAACCAGAUAAGAUAAGAAAAGUUCUCCACGUAUUUUCGAGGGACUGCAGACUGCAGACAACGCUAGCUGGUUCUAACCAGAGAAGGCGCAUCGUCGAUCCAUCUGGACUUUGUUCUCUAGUGAUUUUGCUAUGUUAAUUCUGUGAUAUGAUGCAAAGGUGAAUUUCCCAUUUUGCUAAAUG